UCGAAAGUGUACAAGUGGGUUAUGGCAAAUGCAGUGCUCUCCGAGUGCCCAGAUGGUAUAAUGAUAGUCAAAAAGUGUGGAACACUGGACACUUUCUCAUCCUCAAAUCAUCGCCUUUUUGGCUACGUAGCAGAAGAGGAAAGCUGCAGCGGGUGCUCUGGAGAACACAGCACAAUGAAAAUACUAGAAAAGCAGGGUCUAACCUGGAACCAGAUGGCGUUGACUAUCUUGCUGAGGACGAACAGAGGGAGAACCCAGAGAGCACUGAAGACAGAGGUCAGGAUGAACUCUAACCAGGACCACACGCUGCCAUGGAGGGAGGGGUCACCUGGAGCAAAGGAAGACAGCUUAUUGACUGACAGGUUCGUCAAGCCAGUGAACCUGCCCCGGAAUAACAAGUGGCCAUACGUACCAAUGAUUUUUGCUGUUAGAGUCUGCAGCAGUGGAAUAAACACCCGGUAGAAGAGAAACAGACUGAGCUGGAGAGAGAAAAUGAAAUGCUUGAGUUACUCUUUAAGCCAUGCUCCCACAUAUAAUACGAUUUUUAAAAUCUGG